GGAGUUCCGAGUGCCCAGCACCCAGCACCAGGCGAUCCCUGAAACCCAUGGAGAGAUCAGCACCUACAGCCUGGAGUGGAAGAGAGGCCCGGGACCUACACGCCAUGCUCCGUUCCUCUCAAACCCCAGGCACAGGCAGAAAUCAGGCAGCCAACCAGCGGCCGGAGCAGAGGGACAGACCAGGCAUUAGCAGUGUCAUCUCCAGCGGACGAGCUCUGUGGUUCUGGCUCUGAGUCAGGCCCCAUCGCCCGGGCGUCCCCAGUGCCAUCUCCCUCCGCCCCGCCCCAGACUGGAAAAUGAGGCUCACGCUGCUGCCGGAGUCAGUGCUUCCCCUGCUUCCCCUCACGAUCUCGCUUUCCCCUAAAGGGAGGUUUAACCACCUGCCAGUCUGGGAGGGAAUAGGAUGCUGAGGCAAGCAAGGGGCUCUCUGAUCCCUCAGGUCCCAGGACACCUCUGGCAGAGAGGAAGCCUCCCUCUCCUCGGCCCAUCACGUUCGCCAUCUCCCACCUCCAAGCUGGGGCUGCCGCAUCAUUCCUUACCUUCUUUGGGACAGAAGUAAAUUCAAUGCACAAA
rnacentral:lncRNA from 1 species